UCCAUAUUAUGCAUUAAAGAUACAUGGGUGCUCAAGACCUACUCCAAAGGUGACAAGUGCAUUUUAGUAUAUUACUGAAAGAUCGUUGGCUUCCCUGCUCAAAAUUUGUGUGUGUGUGUGUGUGUGUGUGUGUGUGUGUGUGAGAGAGAGAGAGAGAGAGAGAGAGAUGUUUUCUAUCACUACUGCAA